GCAGCUCGGUCCGUAGAGCGUGAGGCUCCGAACCUCAGGCUCGCGGGUUCGAGCCCCACGUUGGGCA